GAAUAUGGGUUCCCACGUGGCUGCUAGAUGAGAUAUGAACCGUGAAAUGCAGUUCAAUCUAUCUAAGAAACCACGAGCCUCCUUUUUUGUUCUCGGUUCAGGUAUUUCUUGUAUUGCUUUUUUCUUUCUCUUUCUUUCUUCCUUCUUUUUUUUUAGCAGGAUCAACCUCUGUUCCUCUUUCAUUCACAAUAAGCCUCAGCAACUUACCGGACCGCACUCCACAAGUGCA
rnacentral:lncRNA from 1 species